GACGAACGAUGGCGGCGUGCUUAACACAUGCCAGUCGAACGGAAAGGCCCUGCUUUUGUGGGGUGCUCGAGUGGCGAACGGGUGAGUAACACGUGAGUAACCUGCCCUUGACUUUGGGAUAACUUCAGGAAACUGGGGCUAAUACCGGAUAGGAGCUCCUGCUGCAUGGUGGGGGUUGGAAAGUUUCGGCGGUUGGGGAUGGACUCGCGGCUUAUCAGCUUGUUGGUGGGGUAGUGGCUUACCAAGGCUUUGACGGGUAGCCGGCCUGAGAGGGUGACCGGCCACAUUGGGACUGAGAUACGGCCCAGACUCCUACGGGAGGCAGCAGUGGGGAAUAUUGCACAAUGGGCGGAAGCCUGAUGCAGCAACGCCGCGUGCGGGAUGACGGCCUUCGGGUUGUAAACCGCUUUCGCCUGUGACGAAGCGUGAGUGACGGUAAUGGGUAAAGAAGCACCGGCUAACUACGUG
rnacentral:rRNA from 1 species